ACCAUGCAUGUCUAAGUAUAAACUAAUUAUACGGUGAAACUGCGAAUGGCUCAUUAAAUCMSUUAUAGUCUACUUGAUCGUAAAUUCUACUUGGAUAACCGUAGGAAAUCUAGGGCUAAUACAUGCUAAAAGCCGCGACUACCUCCGGGUUGGAAGCGGUGAAUUUAUUASAUUAAAAACCAAUGGCGGGGGCAACCUCGUCAACCCUAGGCGAUUCAUGAUAACGCAUCUGAUCGGCGGCUAGUCCGCCGACGAUACAUACGAAUUUCUGCCCUAUCAACUUUCGAUGGUUGGAUAGAGGCCAACCAUGGUCGUAACGGGUAACGGAGAAUUAGGGUUCGGUUCCGGAGAUGGAGCCUGAGAGAUGGCUACAACUUCCACGGAAGGCAGCAGGCGCGCAAAUUACCCAAUCCCAAUACGGGGAGGUAGUGACAUGAAAUACCGAUGCGUGGCCCUAUUGGGUCGCGACGUUGGAAUGAGUACAAUUUAAAUCCCUUAACGAGGAACAAUUGGAGGACAAGUCUGGUGCCAGCACCCGCGGUAAUUCCAGCUCCRAUAGCGUAUAUUAAAGUUGUUGCAGUUAAAAAGCUCGUAGUUGGAUUUCGGAGCAUUCACGAUGCUGACCGCUGAAACGGCGUGUUCGGCGCGUGKAUCUCCUCUUCUUGGGGAUUCAAGUGGGUGGCGGGUAAAACCGUCRUUCGCUCCCCAUCGUUUACUUUGAGAAAAUUGGAGUGCUCAAAGCAGGCACAACCCUGCCUUGAACAAUGCAGCAUG
rnacentral:rRNA from 1 species